UGCAAAAUGGCUCCGAAGCUGAGGAUGCCGUUCAAAACAUACAAGAAACAUCAUUGAUUCGUACCUGUUUGGAAGCUGAGCUGGAAGGUGAAUGUGUACAACAGCUGUUGCAAUAAAGACCUGGGGAAAUAAGGACAACAUCAUGCACGC